rnacentral:misc_RNA from 1 species
AAGUCGUAACAAGGUCUCCGUUGGUGAACCAGCGGAGGGAUCAUUACAGAGUUAUCUAACUCCCAAACCCAUGUGAACUUACCUUUGUUGCCUCGGCAGUAGUUGCUGGGCGAGCCUACCCGGGAAAUCCUGGGACGACUUACCCUGUAACGCCUGCUGGUGGACUACUAAACUCUUGUUAUUUUUAAGUAAUCUGAGCGUCUUAUUUUAAUAAGUCAAAACUUUCAACAACGGAUCUCUUGGUUCUG